GUUCCAGUAUCCAGAUUAUAUGAAGCCAAAUAUAUCUUGGAUGAAGGAUUUGAGACAAAUUAUUCAUCUUCCAAUCUAGAUCCUAUGGGACCACAACCAACCGAUUUUCAAGUCAAAAACUCAAUGGGAUCAACAGUUUGAAAACACAGAAAAGCAAACAAUAAUAUUCUGUUACAUUCAGAUAUUAUAAUUUGUACAGCAAAUUUGUAUUGAAUA
rnacentral:lncRNA from 1 species